ACCCCGGGUUGUGGAGUUUGGGGAUCCUCAUCCAGCGACCUCUCCCCUUCCAGGAGUGCACAGUCUGCGGGUGAACCGGGGAAAGAAGGUAUGACAUCAAAGGCUGCGAGGUGAGCCGCUGGGUGGAUCCCGCCCCUGAGGGCAGCCCCCUUGUUCUGGUGCUGAAGGACCUCAACUUUCAGGGCAAGACCAUCAACCUGGGGCCCCAGCGGAGCUGGUUCCUCCGCCAGAUGGAACUGGAUACCACCUUCCUCCGGGAGCUCAACGUGCUGGAUUACAGCCUCCUGAUGGCCUUCCAAUAUCUCCACGAGGAUGAGAGGGGCCCGGGCAGCAGCCUCAUCUUCCGCACGGCCAGGUCUGUGCAAGGGGCACAGAGCCCGGAAGAGUCGGCAGCCCAAAACCGCCGGCUGCUGCCCGACGCCCCCAACGCCCUACACAUCCUGGACGGGCCCGAGCAGCGCUAUUUCCUGGGCGUCGUGGAUCUCGCCACGGUCUACGGGCUCCGCAAGCGGCUGGAGCACCUGUGGAAGACACUGCGCUACCCGGGCCGGACCUUCUCCACUGUCAGCCCGGCUCGCUACGCCCGUCGCCUCUGCCAGUGGGUGGAGGCGCACACGGAGUGACGGGCGCCCGGCCCCACUCUCCGGUCUGGAUGAUGGGCUCACGCCAGGAACGCCGGUUCCCCCGGGCCCG
rnacentral:sRNA from 1 species